AGUGAACGCUGGCGGCAGGCCUAACACAUGCAAGUCGAACGGCAGCACAGAGGAGCUUGCUCCUUGGGUGGCGAGUGGCGAACGGGUGAGGAAUGCAUCGGAAUCUGCCCAAUCGUGGGGGAUAACCUCGGGAAACCGGGACUAAUACCGCAUACGACCUUCGGGUGAAAGCAGGGGAUCGCAAGACCUUGCGCGAUUGGAUGAGCCGAUGCCGGAUUAGCUAGUUGGCGGGGUAAAGGCCCACCAAGGCGACGAUCCGUAGCUGGGCUGAGAGGAUGAUCAGCCAAACUGGAACUGAGACACGGUCCAGACUCCUACGGGAGGCAGCAGUGGGGAAUAUUGGACAAUGGGCGCAAGCCUGAUCCAGCCAUGCCGCGUGGGUGAAGAAGGCCUUCGGGUUGUAAAGCCCUUUUGUUGGGAAAGAAAAGCGGCCGGUUAGUACCCGGUUGUUCUGACGGUACCCAAAGAAUAAGCACCGGCUAACUUCGUGCCAGCCGCCGCCGUAA
rnacentral:rRNA from 1 species